rnacentral:rRNA from 1 species
GCUCAGGGCUAACGCUGGCGGCGUGUCUUAGCCAUGCAAGUCGAGCGGUCCUAUGGGGCAACCCAUAGGGCAGCGGCGGACGGCGGAGUAACACGUAGCUAACCUACCCCCGGGACGGGGAUAACCACUCGAAAGGGUGGCUAAUACCCGAUGAAGUCUUCAUCUGAGAUGGUGGAGAUGAAAGGUGGGCCUCUGCGUAAGCAAGCUCAUGCCUGGGGAGGGGGCUGCGGCCUAUCAGGUAGUUGGUGGGGUAAGGGCCCACCAAGCCUAUGACGGGUAGCCGGCCUGAGAGGGUGACCGGUCCGAGGGACACUGAGACACGGGUCCCACUCCUACGGGAGGCAGCAGGCUAGAAAAUUGGGCAAUGGGGGAAACCCUGACCCAGUGACGCCGCGUGCGGGAAGGAGCCCUUCGGGGUGUAAACCGCUGUCGUGCGGGGCGAAGGGUAUCAGGGCGAACAGUCCUGAUGCUUGACGGUACCGCAGGAGGAAGCCCAGGCUAACCUCGUGCCAGCAGCCGCGGUAAUACGGGGUGGGCUAGCGUUGCCCGGAAUUACUGGGUUUAAAGGGGGUGUAGGCGGUCUGGAGAGUCAGGUGUGUAAUCCAAUCGCUCAACGGUUGGGCUGCACCUGAUACUUCCAGGCUAGAGGGCGGUAGAGGAGAGCGGAACUCCCGGUGUAGCGGUGAAAUGCGUAGAUAUCGGGAGGAACGCCGGUGGCGAAGGCGGCUCUCUAGGCCGUUCCUGACGCUGAGGCCCGAAAGCUGGGGGAGCGAAAGGGAUUAGAUACCCCUGUAGUCCCAGCUGUAAACGAUGGGCACUAGGUGUUCCCCGUAAGGGGAGUGCCGACGGGAAACCAUUAAGUGCCCCACCUGGGGAGUACGCCCGCAAGGGUG